rnacentral:rRNA from 1 species
UGGGGAAUCUUCCGCAAUGGACGAAAGUCUGACGGAGCAACGCCGCGUGAGUGAUGACGGCCUUCGGGUUGUAAAGCUNUGUUAAUCGGGACGAAAGGCCUUCUUGCGAAUAGUUAGAAGGAUUGACGGUACCGGAAUAGAAAGCCACGGCUAACUACGUGCCAGCAGCCGCGGUAAUACGUAGGUGGCAAGCGUUGUCCGGAAUUAUUGGGCGUAAAGCGCGCGCAGGCGGAUUGGUCAGUCUGUCUUAAAAGUUCGGGGCUUAACCCCGUGAUGGGAUGGAAACUGCCAAUNNAGAGUAUNGGAGAGGAAAGUGGAAUUCCUAGUGUAGCGGUGAAAUGCGUAGAUAUUAGGAAGAACACCAGUGGCGAAGGCGACUUUCUGGACGAAAACUGACGCUGAGGCGCGAAAGCCAGGGGAGCGAACGGGAUUAGAUACCCCGGUAGUCCUGGCCGUAAACGAUGGGUACUAGGUGUAGGAGGUAUCGACCCCUUCUGUGCCGAAGUUAACGCAAUAAGUACCCCGCCUGGGGAGUACGACCGCAAGGUUG